UAAAGAAAAACCCAUCUGUAUUUGUUUAAUUUUAACAACCCUGUGUGGAGGCUGUUCGAGUGGCUGGGAAAACCGAACUUGACGCUUGAGGAUACUUAUUGCUUCCGACUGCUGCUGCUUAAAAAGAAAAGGACAAUAAGACCAAGUAACAAAUCAGCAGUGACCUGGCAUUUCUCCAAAAAGACCAACAGGAAACUCACAGAAAUGUACUGAAGUGGGAAGGUCAAGCUCCAGGCAAUUCACUCCAAGAUAAACA